UUUGAUUUCCUCCAAUAUCUCA
rnacentral:miRNA from 1 species